GAAGGACUACCAGGUUAGGGGAGGACUGCCAGGUUAGGGGAAGGACUACCAGGUUAGGGGAGGACUACCAGGUUAGGGGAGGACUGCCAGGUUAGGGGAGGACUACCAGGGUAGGGUAGGACUACCAGGGUAGGGGUGGACUACCAGGGUAGGGGUGGACUACCAGGUUAGGGGAGGACUGCCAGGGUAGGGUGGGACUACCAGGGUAGGGUAGGACUUAAUACUGAGACGACCUCAAUCAUCUAAACUGGAACAACCAUCUCCCCUACCCUGCAGUAAAUCCAACUACUAGCAGAUUGG
ensembl:lncRNA